ACGCUCGACACCUAUGGGAGGCAGCAGUGGGGAAUAUUGCACAAUGGGGGAAACCCUGAUGCAGCGACGCCGCGUGAGCGAAGAAGUAUUUCGGUAUGUAAAGCUCUAUCAGCAGGGAAAGAAGAAAGACGGUACCUGAACUAAGAACGCCCCGGCUAACUACGUGCAAGCAGCCGCGGUAAUCUGAGCGGGCUGGCAAGGC
rnacentral:rRNA from 1 species